UGACGUGUGGCUGUCGUAAAAAACCCUAUUUGUAAACAACCAGCCCUUUAACUCGGGGCUGCGUCAUAAACACGGCGCGCUUGGAAGACCACGAUGUCAUCUUCCUUCUGUCAGGAGGAUCCAAGUGAAGCUACAGGAGUUUCAUUAACGUCAACAACUUGGACCAAACAGUUUGUUUUGCUUGAUGAAGAGCAGGAAGGGCAGCCUGGAGAGAAAGAGAAGCCGGGUUGAGCCCACUACCAUCAUCCAUGUACCACGAGGAAGAUGAGGGAGAGAAAUGAUCCUACCAUUAAAGAGACUGUGAAAAGAACGUUGAGAACAUCACCACUCUACAGGAAGACACAGUCCAGUAAUGGGUGUCAGAAGUUCAGUAGUGAACGACAGAAACAAACAAUCCAAAUUACCUGCAGAAAGCCCUUGAUGGACGCUUCAGCUGCAUCGUCAGACUGGCAGUACUGAUGCAUUUACUGAGAGGGGACGUGAGGGCCUACUCUGCGUGCUCAGAGUUCAAGCCCAGCAGGCUGCAGCGGGCCUGACAUAUUCUGGAACAGCAGCACAGUCUUUGGAUGACUCCUCUGAAGAUGAAAACAUGGCGAGUUCUUCUCAAGAGAAGCAGUACAGGUGUGCCUCAGCUCCACGGUCCCUCCUGCAGCCUCCGCUCCUGAUGCUAACCUCAUGUCUCCAUCACACCAAGCAGCAGACCUGGAUUGACAGACCUUUCUCCAGAGCUGCCCCCUCCCUCUGAAACCCCCCUCUCCAAAACACUAUUUGUGUAGUUUUUAAAGUAUUUUUUGCAUGAGAAUUGUUGAUCAUAACAUUUCCAGCAGAUGCCUUAAUAUAAUGUUUGUGCACAAUAAAUGACAUUGAUCAUAACAUAA